rnacentral:lncRNA from 1 species
AUGUAAAUAAACUUAGGCAGCUACAGGAAGAACACAUCAAGCUAAUACAUCAAAUGUAUAAAUUAUUCAGGGCACAAUAAGGAACAACAUUACAUAGAAUAAUUAUCCUUUGCAGCCGGUAUGUUUAUUAUAUCUAACACCUUGUAGGCAUAUAUAUAAAGUAUAAUCUACAGAGACAAGUUGUUUGCUGCUUCUCAAGCCAAGCCCCAUAGCCUAUCUAUGAAGCAUCAUCAUGAGAUACACAAGGAAACAAAAAUUUGAGUCAGAUAACUCAUGAAUUGCGCUUUCGGACUGAAAAGACAAAAUGAUGAUUGAAGUUAGGUUUGUUGCACAAGAUACAGUUUUUAACCAGGAAAUUUAGAUACCUUUUUAGAGAUGAAAUAGCAGAAUUCUUCCCAGAACAUN